rnacentral:rRNA from 1 species
AGCUCCAAUAGCGUAUAUUUAAGUUGCUGCAGUUAAAAAGCUCGUAGUUGGAUUUCGGGCGGUCGACGACGGUCCGCCUCUGGUGUGCACUGCCGCUCGUCCGCCUUUCUGCCGGGGACGUGCUCCUGGGCUUCACUGUCUGGGACACGGGUUCGGCGAGGUUACUUUGAGUAAAUUAGAGUGUUCAAAGCAGGCAUCGCCUUGAAUAUAUUAGCAUGGAAUAGCACGAUAGGACUCUGGCCUAUUCUGCUGGUCUGUAGGACCGGAGUAAUGAUUAAGAGGGACAGUCGGGGGCAUUCGUAUUUCAUUGUCAGAGGUGAAAUUCUUGGAUUUAUGAAAGACGAACUUCUGCGAAAGCAUUUGCCAAGGAUGUUUUCAUUGAUCAAGAACGAAAGUACGC